GUGAAACCGCGAAUGGCUCAUUAAAUCACACCUAAUAUACUGGAUAGUAUCAGUUACUUGGAUAACUGCGGUAAUUCUGGAGCUAAUACAUGCGUACAAGCCUUGAACUUAAGUGAGGGGCGCUUUUAUUAGAUCAAAACCAAACGGCGGUCUUUCGGGAUUUGCCGUAUGUUUGGUGACUCUGAAUAACUUUGUGCUGAUCGCACGGCUUUAUGCCGGCGACGUAUCCUUCUAAGGUGUGCCCUAUCAACUGUCGACUGUGGCAUAGACGCCCACAGUGGUUUUGACGGGUAACGGGGAAUUAGGGUUUGAUUCCGGAGAGGGAGCCUGAGAAACGGCUACCACUUCUAAGGAAGGCAGCAGGCACGCAAAUUACCCACUGGUCGAAGACCGAGGUAGUGACGAAAAAUAACGAUACCGGACUCAUCCGAGGCCCGGUAAUCGGAAUGAGUACACUUUAAAUCCUUUAACGAGGAACAAUUGGAGGGCAAGUCUGGUGCCAGCAGCCGCGGUAAUUCCAGCUCCAAUAGCGUAUAUUAAAGUUGUUGUGGUUAAAAAGCUCGUAGUUGGAUCUCGGCGAGUAGGGGGUGGUUCGUUGUUUAACGUUACUGCUCCUUUUACUCGUGUUAUUGACGGAGGUUCCAGGGUUCUCUUAACCGAGUGUCCUGGGAUUCCGUCAGGUUUACUUUGAAAAAAUUAGAGUGCUCAAAGCAGGCUUUACACGCUUGAAUAUUCGUGCAUGGAAUAAUAGAAUAGGAUGUCGUUUCUAUUUUGUUGGUUUUCGGAAAUUGACAUAAUGAUUAAUAGGGACAGUCGGGGGCAUUAGUAUUCAGACGACAGAGGUGAAAUUCUUGGACCGUCUGAAGACUAACUACUGCGAAAGCAUUUGCCAAGAAUGUUUUCAUUAAUCAAGAACGAAAG
rnacentral:rRNA from 1 species